rnacentral:rRNA from 1 species
CAGGAUGAACGCUAGCGACAGGCUUAACACAUGCAAGUCGAGGGGCAGCAAUAAAAGUAGCAAUACUUGGUGGCGACCGGCGCACGGGUGAGUAACGCGUAUGCAACCUACCUAUCAGAGGGGAAUAACCCGGCGAAAGUCGGACUAAUACCGCAUAAAACAGGGGCACCGCAUGGUGAUAUUUGUUAAAGAAAUUCGCUGAUAGAUGGGCAUGCGUUCCAUUAGGUAGUUGGUGAGGUAACGGCUCACCAAGCCGACGAUGGAUAGGGAACUGAGAGGUUGGUCCCCCACACUGGUACUGAGACACGGACCAGACUCCUACGGGAGGCAGCAGUGAGGAAUAUUGGUCAAUGGGCGGGAGCCUGAACCAGCCAAGUCGCGUGAAGGAAGAAGGAUCUAUGGUUCGUAAACUUCUUUUGCAGGGGAAUAAAGUGCAGGACGUGUCCUGUUUUGUAUGUACCCUGAGAAUAGGGAUCGGCUAACUCCGUGCCAGCCGCGGC